rnacentral:rRNA from 1 species
CCCUUAGAUGUUCUGGGCGGCCCGCGCACUACAAUGGCGUGUGCAGCGAGUGCCGAAGUAGAGUUUUCCGAGGUAUUCUUGCAAUGCUCGUUUUGAUGGGGAUAGACCCUUGCAACUGUUGGUUUUGAACGAGGAAUUCCUUGUAAGCAUGGUUUAUCAUCCGACGCUGAAUGCGUCCCUGCCCUUUGUACACACCGCCCGUCGCUCCUACCGAUGAGUCGUCCGGUGAAGUUCGUAGACCUCGUGAUCGCGGAUCACUAGGGGAAGCAAAAUGAACCUCGCGGGUUAGAGGAAGGAGAAGUCGUAACA